rnacentral:misc_RNA from 1 species
UCGGAAGGUGCGGCUGGAUCACCUCCUUUCUAAGGAGAAUUACCUACUGUUUAAUUUUGAGGGUUCGUUUUUACGAAUACUCAAAAUUAGCACUUUUAGCACUUUGAAAACUGCAUAUAUAUAUUUAGUGAUAUGACAUCUAAUUUGUAAUAUAUAAAGCUGAUAACUUUUUAAAAUUAUCGAAGUUGAUAGCUUCUAAUCUAUCAAACCUUUUUAACU